rnacentral:misc_RNA from 1 species
UCGUAACAAGGUUUCCGUAGGUGAACCUGCGGAAGGAUCAUUACUGAUUUGCUUAAUUGCACCACAUGUGUUUUUCUUUGAAACAAACUUUCUUUGGCGGUGGGCCCAGCCUGCCGCCAGAGGUCUAAACUUACAACCAAUUUUUUAUCAACUUGUCACACCAGAUUAUUACUAAUAGUCAAAACUUUCAACAACGGAUCUCUUGGUUCUCGCAUCGAUGAAGAACGCAGCGAAAUGCGAUACGUAAUAUGAAUUGCAGAUAUUCGUGAAUCAUCGAAUCUUUGAACGCACAUUGCGCCCUCUGGUAUUCCGGAGGGCAUGCCUGUUUGAGCGUCGUUUCUCCCUCAAACCGCUGGGUUUGGUGUUGAGCAAUACGACUUGGGUUUGCUUGAAAGACGGUAGUGGUAAGGCGGGAUCGCUUUGACAAUGGCUUAGGUCUAACCAAAAACAUUGCUUGCGGCGGUAACGUCCACCACGUAUAUCUUCAAACUUUGACCUCAAAUCAGGUAGGACUACCCGCUGAACCUAAGCAUAUCA